rnacentral:rRNA from 1 species
GACGAACGCUGGCGGCGUGCCUAAUACAUGCAAGUCGAGCGGACUUUCAAGAAGCUUGCUCUUUGAAAGUUAGCGGCGGACGGGUGAGUAACACGUGGGCAACCUGCCUGUAAGACGGGGAUAACUCCGGGAAACCGGGGCUAAUACCGGAUAAUAUCUUUCUUCGCAUGAAGGAAGGUUGAAAGGCGGCGCAAGCUGCCGCUUGCAGAUGGGCCCGCGGCGCAUUAGCUAGUUGGUGAGGUAACGGCUCACCAAGGCGACGAUGCGUAGCCGACCUGAGAGGGUGAUCGGCCACACUGGGACUGGAACACGGCCCAGACUCCUACGGGAGGCAGCAGUAGGGAAUCUUCCGCAAUGGACGAAAGUCUGACGGAGCAACGCCGCGUGAGCGAAGAAGGUCUUCGGAUCGUAAAGCUCUGUUGUCAGGGAAGAACAAGUACCGUUCGAAUAGGGCGGUACCUUGACGGUACCUGACCAGAAAGCCACGGCUAACUACGUGCCAGCCGCCGCUGUAA